AGGAGGAGUGAGGAAGCAAUCACUCUGAACUUGACUGAACACAGGAGGCAUCUCAAGUGGGUGCUCCAGCAGCUGCAGCCACUUUUCCCUCUGUCCCUCCUCCCAGUGGCUCAGCGUGCAUCCUGUCUCCCAGCCACGGGACAAGGCUGUGAGCUGCAGCUUUGUGCGGUCGCUGUCUCUGCAAAGUGUUUUGGAAGUUCUGUCCAUUCGUCUUGGCCUGGAAAGUGGAAAAUUGGAGCAGUGAAAACAUAUCACGUGGUGCCUGUUUCGUGCUCGGUGGGGCAGACAAGAAGAAACUUCACGCGGUCAAGUCAUAAUGGAGACCAUCACUGAUGGAGACGGGUGCUGUGGUGAGACUGUCACUGAGGGAGCCAGGUGCUGUGCUGAGGCCGUCACCGAGGGAGACGGGUGCUGUGGUGAGACUGUCACUGAGGGAGCCAGGUGCUGUGCUGAGGCCGUCACCGAGGGAGCCAGGUGCAGUGCUGAGGCUGUCACCGAUGGAGCCGGGUGCUGUGCUGAGACCAUCACCGAUGGAGCCGGGUGCUGUGCUGAGACCGUCACCGAUGGAGCCGGGUGCUGUGCUGAGACUGUCACCGAUGGAGCCGGGUGCUGUGCUGAGACUGUCACUGAUGGAGCCAGGUGCUGUGCUGAGACUGUCACGUGCCUCAACUAGACCUCAUCCUUGCAUUGGUCCUAUUAUUUCCAUGUUACAGGUCGGUGCCUUUUGGUGCUUGGACUUCAGGGCAAUGAACUAGGAAGGACACCUGACCAUCAUGUGAAGGAUCCCAUGGCCAUGAUUCCCAUAUUCAAUGGGGAUUUUCCAUAUGGAAAGAGCAGCCACCUAAACACAGGCCUCAGAGGCCAAUAGGACCCAUCCUUUGCAGGCAUCACCUGUGGAAACUUCGCCCAGUUCCGGGAAGGGCAUUCUCUAAUGGUUCGUGACUGCAGCAAUGGAGCGAUUAUAUUCCGCCCUGUCCCAAGGGAGGCCUUCCAACGUAAUGACUCCCCACGGUUGUAAUUUUCCUUUCAUUUAUUUGCUUCCUUACAUUUGGGGAGGUUUCUUUUCUAAUGAAAAACUGAGCCAAAUAAAGAAAAAACAGUUCUUGCUUUUAGCCUAAAGUUGAUAGUUUUCAAUUCACAAGAAAACCUACGUGUCAAAAAUCUACAUUGGGUAUAUACCCAAUAAUGGGAUUGCAGGAUUGAAUGAUAUUUCUAGUUAUAGAUCUUUGAGGAAUCACCACACUGUCUUCCACAGUAGUUGCACUAAUUUAUACUCCCAUCAACAGUGUAAAAGCGUUCCUAUUUCUCCACAGCCUCACCAGCAUCUCCUGUUUCCUGACUUUUUAAUAAUCACCAUUCUGACUGGUGUGAGAUGGUAUCUCAUUGUGGUUUUGAUUCAUCACACACCGGGGCCUCUUGGGCCUUCGGGGACAAGGAGAGGGAGAGCACUGGGACAAAUACCUAACAUAUGCAGGUCUUAAAACGAAGACGAUGGGUUGAUAAGUACAGCAAACCCAUGGUACAUGUACAGCG